rnacentral:rRNA from 1 species
UGGUAGGAGAGCGUUCUAAGGGCGUCGAAGCAUGAUCGCAAGGACAUGUGGAGCGCUUAGAAGUGAGAAUGCCGGUGUGAGUAGCGAAAGACGGGUGAGAAUCCCGUCCACCGAUUGACUAAGGUUGUCAGAGGAAGGCUCGUCCGCUCUGGGUUAGUCGGGUCCUAAGCUGAGGCCGACAGGCGUAGGCGAUGGAUAACAGGUUGAUAUUCCUGUACCACCUAGUAUCGUUUUAAUCGAUGGGGGGACGCAGU